rnacentral:rRNA from 1 species
GAUGAACGCUAGCGGCAGGCUUAAUACAUGCAAGUCGUGGGGCAGCAGGUUUGUAGCAAUACAGAUGCUGGCGACCGGCAAACGGGUGCGGAACACGUACAGAACCUUCCUUUGAGCGGGGAAUAGCCCAGAGAAAUUUGGAUUAAUACCCCAUAGUAUAAUGAAGUGGCAUCACUUUAUUAUUAAAGAUUUAUCACUCGAAGAUGGCUGUGCGGCUGAUUAGGUAGUUGGCGGGGCAAAGGCCCACCAAGCCUGCGAUCAGUAACUGGUGUGAGAGCACGACCAGUCACACGGGCACUGAGACACGGGCCCGACUCCUACGGGAGGCAGCAGUAAGGAAUAUUGGUCAAUGGAGGCAACUCUGAACCAGCCAUGCCGCGUGGAGGAUGAAGGUCCUCUGGAUUGUAAACUUCUUUUAUAUGGGACGAAAAAAGGCUUUUCUAAGUCGUCUGACGGUACCAUAUGAAUAAGCACCGGCUAACUCCGUGCCAG